rnacentral:misc_RNA from 1 species
UGUUUAAAUUAUUAUCGUUAAAAAUUUUGUUUGUUUUUUUGAUCCAAAUACACGAGCGGGUUUGGUUGAAUACACGGGGAAUGCACCGAAGCGCCCUCCCCGACAUUCAUUAUUGUUUUAAUGAUCCUUCCGCAGGUUCACCUACGGAAA